rnacentral:piRNA from 1 species
UUCCAUGAACCUCCAUAAGCAGACAUGU